UGCUUUGUUGAUCACAUCCUGCUUUGAACAGUGGGCUAAAAAGGCACUCUACUAUUUGCAGGUACUUGAGCUCACAUUACUGGGUGGACACUCCACGAAGUCUGUGGUACGAAGGAUCCUCUCUCACAUUUUCACAGACGAGGUGGCACAACUGUACAGCUGGGAGGGGCGCAAGGGCAAGCUGAAAUUCUUUGAGCUGUGCUUCGCGGGCCUGAUUUUACGUGCACUACAUGCACAGAAAAAAUUUGCCAAAGUAACGAAGUUCGAGGUGGAAGCUGUAAUCAAGGAAUGGCUGCGGCACGCUCCUGAACGCAACAAGAGAGCCAAGUGCUGAAGAAGCCAGCGCUCUGGGAGGAAAGGAACUGCCUGCUCUCCACAUGGUGCUUGCCGUCCACGUGCCAAGAAGCCACUUGCCACUCAACUAGCUGUAGUCUGCUACCUCACGUAAUUUAUGCUGCUUUGGUCCACUUUUUACAGCUUUUAUGUAACUGUUGUGGUAUGUGGAAAGGACUUUCACCUUUUUAUUUGAUAAUCCCUGUGUACUAGGCUCUAGGGCUUUUACUGUUACAAUGCUUUUAUCCGAACUGUGCUUUAUAGAUCUUGCAAUAAUGCACAGAUUAUUUUUUAGCUGCACUGAACAUGUAAGAAAAACAGUUCCAUUUCGCCAUGAUGUUACGCAAGAUGGCACCUGUUAGAAAGGAAGACUUUUCCAUCAUUGGACGAUUAACAUAUGAACCUGAAUUAAUUUUAGAGGGUAUAUUUUCAUUUACAAAAUGGAUGCUGUUUGGUCUAGCU